rnacentral:rRNA from 1 species
CACGGGGGAUGCAAGCGUUAUCCGGAAUUAUUGGGCGUAAAGGGUCUAUUGUGGUGGCUGGUUCAGUCUGCUGUGAAAGUCUGGGGCUUAACCCCAGAAAUGCGUCAGAAACUAGCAAGCUAGAGUACGGUAGGGGCAGGGGGAAUUCCCGGUGGAGCGGUGAAAUGCAUAGAGAUCGGGAAGAACACCAAUGGCGAAAGCACCCUGCUGGGCCGAUACUGACACUGCUAGAUGAGAGCUAGGGGAGCAAAUGGG